rnacentral:rRNA from 1 species
UACGAAGGGUGCAAGCGUUACUCGGAAUUACUGGGCGUAAAGCGUGCGUAGGUGGUUUGUUAAGUCUGAUGUGAAAGCCCCGGGCUUAACCUGGGAACUGCGCUUGUAACUGGCAAGCUUGAGUGUGGCAGAGGGGGGUGGAAUUCCACGUGUAGCAGUGAAAUGCGUAGAGAUGUGGAGGAACACCGAUGGCGAAGGCAGCCCCCUGGGCUAACACUGACGCUCAUGCACGAAAGCGUGGGGAGCAAACAGG